UACGGGGGGGGUAAGCGUUGUUCGGAAUUACUGGGCGUAAAGGGCUCGUAGGCGGCCAACUAAGUCAUACGUGAAAUCCCUCAGCUUAACUGGGGAACUGCGUGUGAUACUGGAUGGCUUGGAUUUGGGAGAGGGAUGCGGAAUUCCAGGUGUAGCGGUGAAAUGCGUAGAUAUCUGGAGGAAUACCGGUGGCGAAGGCGACCACCUGGACUGAUACUGACACUGAGGUGCGAAAGCGUGGGGAGCAAACAGG
rnacentral:rRNA from 1 species